rnacentral:snoRNA from 1 species
AUCCAAGGUGAUUCCCUCUCCAAGGGGCCUGCUCGUGCCCCUCUUCAAGGAAAGUAAGCAGCUUGGAACAGAACCUGGCAAGCCUCAGGCCGUUGGGGGAGGGGAGGUUUGUUUCCUUUGCCUGCCUUCGGCUGCCUACACCG